rnacentral:rRNA from 1 species
AUUGAACGCUGGCGGCAUGCUUUACACAUGCAAGUCGAACGGCAGCGGGGGCUUCGGCCUGCCGGCGAGUGGCGAACGGGUGGGUAAUGCAUCGGAACGUGCCCAUGUCGUGGGGGAUAACGUAUCGAAAGGUACGCUAAUACCGCAUACGUCCUGAGCGAGAAAGCGGGGGAUCUUCGGACCUCGCGCGAUUGGCGCGGCCGAUGUCGGAUUAGGUAGUAGGUGAGGUAAAGGCUCACCUAGGCGACGAUCCGUAGCGGGUCUGAGAGGAUGAUCCGCCACACUGGGACUGAGACACGGCCCAGACUCCUACGGGAGGCAGCAGUGGGGAAUUUUGGACAAUGGGCGCAAGCCUGAUCCAGCCAUGCCGCGUGAGUGAAGAAGGCCUUCGGGUUGUAAAGCUCUUUCGGCCGGGAAGAAAUCGUGUUCUCUAACAUAGGACAUGGAUGACGGUACCGGACUAAGAAGCACCGGCUAACUACGUGCCAGCAGCCGCCGCCGUAA